rnacentral:hammerhead_ribozyme from 1 species
AUCCAGCUGACGAGUCGUAUAUAGGACGAAGCGCGCGUCCUGGAU